rnacentral:rRNA from 1 species
UACGGAGGAUGCGAGCGUUAUCCGGAUUUAUUGGGUUUAAAGGGUGCGUAGGCGGCAGAUUAAGUUAGAGGUGAAAUUCCGAGGCUCAACCUUGGCACUGCCUCUGAUACUGGUUUGCUAGCGAGUAGAUGCUGUAGGAGGAAUGUGUGGUGUAGCGGUGAAAUGCAUAGAUAUCACACAGAACACCGAUUGCGAAGGCAUCUCACGAAUCCGCUAUUGACGCUGAUGCACGAAAGCGUGGGUAUCAAACAGG